AGUAUUUUAAUGAGAGAAAGAAGGAAGUAGUAAGAAAACCACCAACCGCAGAGGAGAUUCAUCAAGUGGUCUCAAAAAUACCCAACUUAAGUCGCAUUCAAGUGUUCAAUGCAUUUGAGAAGAUAAUGGAUAGCAACCCGGAAAAGUUUUAUUUGUUGAAGUCACUUCCUGAUGAUGAAAAAAGAGAUUUUAUUCUCUUUAUUCUUAAGGAGUAGUUUCUAGUUUUCAGGUCGGACUACUUUUCUUCAUCUCAAUGUUAUUCUUCACAAUAUUUUUAACCGAAUAUUUCUAAUUUUUUGAUGAUUUCUUAUGAAUGCAUUAGGGUUUGGUGAUUUUGAUGGAUUCUUAGCUAAUUCAAGUAAGGAGUGCUUGUCUCAUCUCAAAGGUUUGCUGAAGCUUAAGGUAAUGAAUCCGAUAUCAGGUGAAGGGUCUUCAUGCUUGUUGCUUCUCUCGGCAAAUUCUGGGAUGUCAGUUUGGGGAAUGAAACAAAAUUUGGUAUCAGAACGCUAUGUGUAAUAAUUAAGAUCUUAUUUUUGCCAGCUAGCCUUCAUUCUGUUUUGUUGAUACUCUGAAGUCUGUUAUUGCCAUUAUUCUGUUUUGUCUGAUUCUGUUUGCUGGGUUAUACUGUGCUUGCCCUUUAAUAUUCACGAUGUAAUUAAUAUAUGUAUUUUUGCCAGCUAGCCUUUCAUUGCGGUGUCUGAUUCUGUUU